rnacentral:rRNA from 1 species
UACGGAGGGUCCAAGCGUUAUCCGGAAUCAUUGGGCGUAAAGCGUCCGCAGGUGGUCAUUCAAGUCUGCUGUUAAAGACAGAAGCUCAACUUCUGAGGAGCAGUGGAAACUGGAUGACUUGAGUAUGGUAGGGGUUGAGGGAAUUCCCAGUGUAGCGGUGAAAUGCGUAGAUAUUGGGAAGAACACCAGUGGCGAAGGCGCUCAACUGGGCCAUAACUGACACUCAGAGACGAAAGCUAGGGGAGCGAAUAGG